rnacentral:SRP_RNA from 1 species
GUGGUAGCAUGUGCCUUUAGUCCCAGCGACUCGGGAGACUGAGGCAGAAGGAAGACUCGAUUGAGUGCAGGAGUUCUGGCCUGUAGUGUGCUAUGCCUGUCAGGUGUCCACACGAAGUCCAGCAUCAAUAUGGUGGCCUUCCAGGAGCAGGGGGGACCACUAGGUUGCCUAAGGAGGGGUGAACUGGCCCACGUUGGAAACAAGAGUAGGUCAGUAGUGGGAUUGCACCUAUGAAUGAAUAGCUGCUGUACUCCACCCUGAGCAACAUAACAGGAGCCUGUCUCU